rnacentral:tRNA from 1 species
GCCCCUGUAGCAUAGUAGCUAUUGCGGCAGACUUGUAAGCAAUAAUAAUGCGAAGACAUCUGCAGGUCGCGAGUGCAAUUCUCGCCAGGGGCU